rnacentral:rRNA from 1 species
CCUACGGGAGGCAGCAGUCGAGAAUCAUUCACAAUGGGGGAAACCCUGAUGGUGCGACGCCGCGUGGGGGAAUGAAGGUCUUCGGAUUGUAAACCCCUGUCAUGUGGGAGCAAAUUAAAAAGAUAGUACCACAAGAGGAAGAGACGGCUAACUCUGUGCCAGCAGCCGCGGUAAUACAGAGGUCUCAAGCGUUGUUCGGAAUCACUGGGCGGAAAGCGUGCGUAGGCUGUUUCGUAAGUCGUGUGUGAAAGGCGCGGGCUCAACCCGCGGACGGCACAUGAUACUGCGAGACUAGAGUAAUGGAGGGGGAACCGGAAUUCUCGGUGUAGCAGUGAAAUGCGUAGAUAUCGAGAGGAACACUCGUGGCGAAGGCGGGUUCCUGGACAUUAACUGACGCUGAGGCACGAAGGCCAGGGGAGCGAAAGGGAUUAGAUACCCCGGUAGUC